CAUUAGAUGACUGAAAGUAAGUACUGGUCUCUUAAACCAUCCUAUAGUAAUUAACGUAUACUUCUAAUGA
rnacentral:tRNA from 1 species